rnacentral:rRNA from 1 species
GUUGAACGCUGGCGGCAGGCUUAACACAUGCAAGUCGAGCGGAGAUGAGGUGCUUGCACCUUAUCUUAGCGGCGGACGGGUGAGUAAUGCUUAGGAAUCUGCCUAUUAGUGGGGGACAACAUUCCGAAAGGAAUGCUAAUACCGCAUACGUCCUACGGGAGAAAGCAGGGGAUCUUCGGACCUUGCGCUAAUAGAUGAGCCUAAGUCGGAUUAGCUAGUUGGUGGGAUAAAGGCCUACCAAGGCGACGAUCUGUAGCGGGUCUGAGAGGAUGAUCCGCCACACUGGGACUGAGAAACGGCCCAGACUCCUACGGGAGGCAGCAGUGGGGAAUAUUGGACAAUGGGGGGAACCCUGAUCCAGCCAUGCCGCGUGUGUGAAGAAGGCCUUAUGGUUGUAAAGCACUUUAAGCGAGGAGGAGGCUACUGAGACUAAUACUCUUGGAUAGUGGACGUUACUCGCAGAAUAAGCACCGGCUAACUCUGUGCCAGCCGCCGCAGUAACAC